UGACGGGCGGUGUGUGCAAUAUCAGCUUGUUGGUAAGGUAACGGCUUACCAAGGCUACGACGUUUAGGGGGGGUGAGAGCCCGAUCCCCACCGAUGGGACUGAGAUACGGCCCAUACUCCUACGGGAGGCCGCAGACGAGAAUAUUCGACAAUGGGCGCAAGCCUGAUCGAGCGACGCCGCGUGGUGGACGAAGUGCCUCGGCACGUAAACACCUUUUAUGUGGGACGAAGUUUAUUGACGGUACCACAUGAAUAAGGGGCUCCUAACUCUGUGCCAGCAGGAGCGGUAAUACAGAGGCCCCAAGCAUUAUCCGGAAUCACUGGGCGUAAAGGGUGUCAAGGCGGUCAUGUUAGUCGUUUGUAAAAUCCGUGGGCUCAACCUACGGCUCGCAAGCGAAACGGCAUGACUUGAGGUCGGCAGAGGUGCGUGGAACUCACGGUGUAGGGGUGAAAUCCGUUGAUAUCGUGGGGAACACCAAAGGCGAAGGCAGCGCACUGGGCCGAAUCUGACGCUCACACACGAAAGCCAGGGUAGCGAACGGGAUUAGAUACCCCGGUAGUCCUGGCCCUAAACGUUGCUCGCUCGUUCUACGGAGUAUCGACCCUCUGUGGGACUAAGCUAACGCGGUAAGCGAGCCGCCUGGGUAGUACGAUCGCAAGAUUAAAACUCAAAGGAAUAGACGGGGACUCGCACAAGGGGUGGAUCAUGUGGCUUAAUUCGUCGACAAGCGAAGAACCUUACCAGGGCUAGAAACCAAACUGCACGCUUCCCGAAAGGGAAGAAUCCUUCGAGGGUGUUUGGCAGGUGAUGCAUGGUCGUCGUCAGUUCGUGGCUUGAGCUGUUCCCUUCAGUGGGGUAACGAACGCAACCCUCGUUGUCUGUUAUAUAUGUCAGGCGAGACUGCCCCCUCACGGGGGAGGAAGGUGAGGAUGACGCCAGAUCAGCAUGUCCCUUGAUGCCUUGGGCUGCACACGUGAUACAAUGGUUCACACAGAAGGACGCAAUACCGUAAGGUGGAGCAAAUCCCGAAAAUGAACCCCAGUACAGAUUGAGGUCUGCAACGACCUCAUGAAGCCGGAAUCCCUAGUAAUCGUGGGUCAGCCAUACCACGGUGAAUACGUUCUCGAGUCUUGCACACACCGCCCGUCACA
rnacentral:rRNA from 1 species